rnacentral:rRNA from 1 species
UAUUGCACAAUGGGGGAAACCCUGAUGCAGCAACGCCGCGUGAAGGAAGACGGUUUUCGGAUUGUAAACUUCUGUUCUUAGUGAAGAAAAAUGACGGUAGCUAAGGAGCAAGCCACGGCUAACUACGUGCCAGCAGCCGCGGUCAUACGUAGGUGGCAAGCGUUGUCCGGAAUUACUGGGUGUAAAGGGCGUGUAGGCGGAGACGCAAGUCAGGAGUGAAAUCCCCGGGCUCAACCCGGGAACUGCUUUUGAAACUGCGUCCCUUGAGUAUCGGAGAGGCAGGCGGAAUUCCUAGUGUAGCGGUGAAAUGCGUAGAUAUUAGGAGGAACACCAGUGGCGAAGGCGGCCUGCUGGACGACAACUGACGCUGAGGCGCGAAAGCGUGGGGAGCAAACAGG